GUCAGCCCUGGGAUUUCUGUGGGAACUGCUGGGAAAGAGGCCUACUAAAGUAUUCACUAGGGAAUUCCCUAGGGGGCCGCCUUUGCAGCAACGUUGGGAGAGUCCUGCUUGAGAACGAAGUGAACACAAGAACGAGUUGAAAGACGGCGAGUUCGAGCUUCCUGAGAGCUGCAUUUGAACACUGGGCCCCAGCCGGCCCUGAAGCCAGCCCUCCUCCUGAACUUCUCAAUCCUAUGAGUCAAUAAAUGCCCUCGAUGAUUUAGGUCUGUUUUCCCUGGGCCUUUUCCCACGUGAGCCCCCAGUCGUCUGUCCCAGGGCUUGGAGUGUCUCCUGGAUGAAUCCAGAAGGAGGGGUGGUUGCCCAUAUGGUAGCUCUGACUCCUGACUGGGAGUCAUUCUCUUGGAGAGAGUCUCUCUCUCUCCUUCCCAACUUCCCCUUUUAAUGCUCCCAUGUGACAAGGACUUAGAUGACUCAGAGUUGAGAAAAGGGAUAUAAACAAGAUAACAUGGACCCAUUUUGGACUUCUGAAACAGCCACUUCUAUCAUCCUCAGAGCUCCAGCACUUCAGAGCUGUGUCACCUCAGUGUGAUGUUUGUGAGCUUUAUCGAUAUGGUUGCACGUCGUUGGAGUCCAUUCUCCUCGCUAAAGAAGAUUCUACAGGGCAGAGACACAACAAGGUACUUACCCAUUCUCCUGCUGCUGGCCAUUCGGUCUGUUUCCAGUUUCCAUGGAGUAUGAUGACUCUGCAAGAUAUUGGACCCCCUUUAUCUCGUCUCAGCCUGGCCUCAACCCUGAGAAGGGGACCCAUGUAUAGCUCAUUUGGAAGAUGUGCAGGUUUGGAGACACGGCAGGUGGGGAAAACCUUUGGUAACUGUGUGCUUGUAGUCCUAGCUCUCUGGCUUCCUUGUUAGAUUCUGGCUUGAAAUCCCACUGUGACUACACACUGCAUGAUUCCAUUUACAUGAA